rnacentral:rRNA from 1 species
UUUUUAAAAAUUAUUUUUUAAGUUAAAAAGCUUAAAUAAAAUUAAAGGACGAGAAGACCCUAUCGAGCUUUAAAUGAUUUGAUUUUAACAAUAUAUUUUAAAGAUUUAAUGUUAUUUUCAAAGACUUUUAGUUGGGGCGACUAUGGAGCAAAAGAAACCUCCAGUAACAUUUUUAAAAAGCUAGGAUCCAAUAUUAUUGAGAUAAGGAAAUAGUUACCGUAGGGAUAACAGCGUAAACUUUUCUGAGAGGCCAUAUUGAAGGAAAGCAUUUGCGACCUCGAUGUUGGAUUAAGGAAUUUUAAGCCGGAAGGUGCAGGAGCUUCGA